UACGUAGGGUGCGAGCGUUGUCCGGAAUUAUUGGGCGUAAAGAGCUCGUAGGUGGUUUGUCGCGUUGUCCGUGAAAACUCACAGCUUAACUGUGGGCGUGCGGGCGAUACGGGCAGGCUGGAGUACUGCAGGGGAGACUGGAAUUCCUGGUGUAGCGGUGGAAUGCGCAGAUAUCAGGAGGAACACCGGUGGCGAAGGCGGGUCUCUGGGCAGUAACUGACGCUGAGGAGCGAAAGCGUGGGGAGCGAACAGG
rnacentral:rRNA from 1 species